UCAGACACAAGGUAGUGGUGCCCUGAGCUGCUGUGUAAGAUGCUCAACUAACUUCUGAGCUUUCUGCAUUGUGGUAACCUGCUUCUGCCAGAUGUGGCUGACAUCGGUGGCUGGCUGUGAUGAUUCAACCUCCUGUCCUCCUCUAAGAGACAGACGCCUCAAGAAGACUCAGGACACUGAGCAAGGGAGCUGAGUCCUCAACUGGCGUAACUGCAGCCUUUGAACCUCUCUGGAUGGCUGGGAUCAUGUGAACUGGGGUACAGACCAGAUGCCUGGGACGGUGAGAGGAUUCACCAGAGACAGAUCAGGGAACAGAACAGGUAGAAUGACCGAAAUAUAACGAUGAAUGGAGCAGCGGGCGAGACAGGAGGGGUCUGCUCGACAUGUGGGUUCCUCCGCCGCCUGCAGGGAUCGAACCGUCAGUGCAGAGGCUGGGGACAACUUCACAGCGUGCGCUCAACUGGCUGCGCCACCAGGGAGGCCCUGUUCUUGGAAAUUAUAAAUCAUCCCACUGGUCUCCGAACUCAGACUGAAACUACACAUUGAGUUCCCUGGGUCUCCAGCUUGCUGACUACAGAUCUUGAGACUUCUAAGCCUCCAUAAUCAUGGGCUCCUUUACUACAGAUAUCCACCACCUUAUCUAUACUGCUCUCUGAAAAUAAUACCUUUCCUCGGAGUGGAGCCUUCUCUGCAAGACACACCACUCUUCAUUGCACAGUGUAUUUCUUGAACUGAAUCGUUUGAGAAUGGGGGAAAAAAAACAAGAAAAUGGGUGAAUGACUCUGUGAACUGAGAGAGAUGAUUAGUA